rnacentral:rRNA from 1 species
GGGGAGCAAACAGGAUUAGGAUACCCUGGUAGUCCACGCCGUAAACGAUGUCUACUAGCUGUAGGGGUACUUGAGACCUUUGUAGCGCAGCUAACGCAAUAAGUAGACCGCCUGGGGAGUACGGCCGCAAGGUUAAAACUCAAAUGAAUUGACGGGGGCCCGCACAAGCAGUGGAGCAUGUGGUUUAAUUCGAUGCAACGCGAAGAACCUUACCAGGCCUUGACAUCCUCGGAACUUUCUAGAGAUAGAUUGGUGCCUUCGGGAACCGAGUGACAGGUGCUGCAUGGCUGUCGUCAGCUCGUGUCGUGAGAUGUUGGGUUAAGUCCCGUAACGAGCGCAACCCUUGUCCUUAGUUGCCAGCACAUUAUGGUGGGAACUCUAAGGAGACUGCCGGUGACAAACCGGAGGAAGGUGGGGACGACGUCAAGUCAUCAUGGCCCUUACGGCCUGGGCUACACACGUGCUACAAUGGCUAGGACAGACGGCCGCAAACCCGCGAGGGGGAGCCAAUCCGACAAACCUAGUCGUAGUCCGGAUCGGAGUCUGCAACUCGACUCCGUGAAGUCGGAAUUGCUAGUAAUCGCGAAUCAGAAUGUCGCGGUGAAUACGUUCCCGGGCCUUGUACACACCGCCCGUCACACCAUGGGAGUGGGUUGCUCCAGAAGUGGUUAGUCUAACCUUCGGGAGGACGAUCACCACGGAGUGAUUCAUGACUGGGGUGAAGUCGUAACAAGGUAGCCGUA